AUUGAACGCUGGCGGCAGGCCUAACACAUGCAAGUCGAGCGAGCGGCGGACGGGUGAGUAAUGUCUGGGAAACUGCCUGAUGGAGGGGGAUAACUACUGGAAACGGUAGCUAAUACCGCAUACCAUCAGAUGUGCCCAGAUGGGAUUAGCUAGUAGGUGGGGAAACGGCUCACAUAGGCGACGAUCCCUAGCUGGUCUGAGAGGAUGACCAGCCAAAGUGGAACGGAGACACGGUCCAGACUCCUACGGGAGGCAGCAGUGGGGACUAUUGCACAAUGGGCGGAAGCCUGAUGCAGCCAUGCCGCGUUUGUGAAGAAGGCCUUCGGGUUGUAAAGCACUUUCAGCGGUGAGGCGUUACCCGCAGAAGAAGCACCGGCUAACUCCGUGCCAGCAGCCGCGGUAAUUC
rnacentral:rRNA from 1 species